rnacentral:rRNA from 1 species
GUAAAAGUCGUAACAAGGUUUCCGUAGGUGAACCUGCGGAAGGAUCAUUACCGAGUGAGGGUCGCAAGGCCCGAACCUCCCACCCUUGUGUCUCGACCUUUGUUGCUUCGGUGGACCGGUGGGCUUGCCCGCCACCGGCCUCGGCCGGUCCGUGUCCACCAGAGGCCCCGUCAACUCGUUCAUGUUGCGGUCCAAGUAUCAUACCAAUCAUUAAAACUUUCAACAACGGAUCUCUUGGUUCUGGCAUCGAUGAAGAACGCAGCGAAAUGCGAUAAGUAAUGUGAAUUGCAGAAUUCAGUGAAUCAUCGAAUCUUUGAACGCACAUUGCGCCCCUUGGUAUUCCGAGGGGCAUGCCUGUUCGAGCGUCAUUGUCCACCUCAAGCUCGGCUUGGUGUUGGGUCUCGUCCGGUUGCGACGGGCCCGAAACGCAGUGGCGACCCCGCCGGAUCUCGGGCGUAGUAAAUCAUCGCGCCUGGGGGUCCGGCGGCCGGUCCGCCGCAACAUCAUCUUACGUUUGACCUCGGAUCAGGUAGGGAUACCCGCUGAACUUA